GUGCUCACCUCGGCAGCAAGCACACUAAGAUUGGAAUGAUGCAGGGCAGAUAGUGUGGCCUCUGGGUAAGAAUAGCACAUCAAUUCACGAAGCUUUCCAUGUUUCU
rnacentral:snRNA from 1 species